ACGCUCGACACCUACGGGAGGCAGCAGUGAGGAAUAUUGGUCAAUGGGCGGCAGGCCUGAACCAGCCAAGUAGCGUGAAGGAUGACUGCCCUAUGGGUUGUAAACUUCUUUUAUAUGGGAAUAAAGUUUUCCACGUGUGGAAUUUUGUAUGUACCAUAUGAAUAAGGAUCGGCUAACUCCGUGCCAGUAGCCGCGGUAAUCUGAGCGGGCUGGCAAGGC
rnacentral:rRNA from 1 species